GAUGACGACGUUAGGAGAGAUUUGACAAACCACCGCAGGCGGCGGCAGCAGCUGACCUUUCGUAGAUCUGUUUGAGAUUAGAAUUGGCUUUUGGGAACCAGGCAAGCUACUGGCGGAGGCUGAACUUUCUUUGCAGAUCCAUGUCGAUGACCGUGACCAUGAAAUUGACGUGUGUCCGUGGCCGUGUCCCUUGUUGUCGACGUGUAUGUGGACGCGUUCCACCUUGUGGACGAGUACGUCGUGGCUGUGUCUCUCUUUAUGGCCGUGGCCGUGGCCGUGGCGCUCCUUGUGGACGAGUGCGUGGCCGUGCCUCUCUUUGUGGCCGUGCUGUCCAUCUUUGUGUCCGCGGCCGUGCUGUCCAUCUUUGUGUCCUUGGCCGUGUACCUGUUUCUGGCCAUGUCCAUGCUGGCGGGCGCCUUGAUGACCGGGAUGGCCGGCGCGAUGGUGGUGACCGUCUCCCAUGCUUAUGUGCUGAAGGUUUUCUUUGUGGGAGCGAAUGUCAGUUUGCAGAUGCGUUGUGAUUGGGAGAGCACAC